GACGAACGCUGGCGGCGUGCUUAACACAUGCAAGUCGAACGGAAAGGCCCUGCUUUUGUGGGGUGCUCGAGUGGCGAACGGGUGAGUAACACGUGAGUAACCUGCCCUUGACUUUGGGAUAACUUCAGGAAACUGGGGCUAAUACCGGAUAUGAGCUCCUGCUGCAUGGUGGGGGUUGGAAAGUUUCGGCGGUUGGGGAUGGACUCGCGGCUUAUCAGCUUGUUGGUGGGGUAGUGGCUUACCAAGGCUUUGACGGGUAGCCGGCCUGAGAGGGUGACCGGCCACAUUGGGACUGAGAUACGGCCCAGACUCCUACGGGAGGCAGCAGUGGGGAAUAUUGCACAAUGGGCGGAAGCCUGAUGCAGCAACGCCACGUGCGGGAUGACGGCCUUCGGGUUGUAAACCGCUUUCGCCUGUGACGAAGCGUGAGUGACGGUAAUGGGUAAAGAAGCACCGGCUAACUACGUG
rnacentral:rRNA from 1 species